GACGAACGCUGGCGGCGUGCCUAAUACAUGCAAGUAGAACGCACAGUUUAUACCGUAGCUUGCUACACCAUAAACUGUGAGUUGCGAACGGGUGAGUAACGCGUAGGUAACCUGCCUGGUAGCGGGGGAUAACUAUUGGAAACGAUAGCUAAUACCGCAUAAUAUUGAUUAUUGCAUGAUAAUUGAUUGAAAGAUGCUAUUGCAUCACUACCAGAUGGACCUGCGUUGUAUUAGCUAGUAGGUGAGGUAACGGCUCACCUAGGCGACGAUACAUAGCCGACCUGAGAGGGUGAUCGGCCACACUGGGACUGAGACACGGCCCAGACUCCUACGGGAGGCAGCAGUAGGGAAUCUUCGGCAAUGGACGAAAGUCUGACCGAGCAACGCCGCGUGAGUGAAGAAGGUUUUCGGAUCGUAAAGCUCUGUUGUAAGAGGAGAACGGGUGUGAGAGUGGAAAGUUCACACUGUGACGGUAGCUUACCAGAAAGGGACGGCUAACUACGUG
rnacentral:rRNA from 1 species